AAUCCUGAUGGCUGUGCGGGUGAGGUUAGAAUAAAUAAAUGUCCGAGAGGCCAGUGAGAGGGACACCGAUGAUCUUCUCAGCUGUUUUCACAAUGUGCUGCAGAGUCUUCCGGCAGGACACGGUGCAGGCUCCAUACCACACAGUGAUGCAGCUGGUCAAGAAGCUCUCGGUGGCGCCCCUGUAGAAGGUCUGCAUGAUGGGGGGAGGAGCUUUAGCCAUCUUCAGUUUGCGGAGGAAGUACAGGCGUCUUUGGGCUUUCUUUGUCAUGGUGGCCUGGCAGACUCCUCCCCCUCCCAGCUCUGCUCCAGACUCACAGCUGUGUCCACUCAUCUCAUCCCCUCGCCUGCUUCAUAAGGAGACUCACCUCAAGCAUUCUUCGCCAGUUCGUUAACACUGAUGGUCUUGCCUUCCACGAGUGACACCCGAGUCUUUCUACCACCCGAGCUGAAGCUGAACUCCUCUACGCCUCCCAAGAAAUCCAGCCACGCCACCCCCAAAGAACUCCUGCCACGUCAAAGCUAAGAUCCAGAGCUGCCUUCUUCUUACAUAUCCUCCAUCCUGCUGACGAUCUGCUCCAUCUAGUCCCACGACGCUCCACGCCUCAAGAUCCGCUGGCUCCUACAAAAUAAAACCAGUUACUUUCCCUUUCA